CUCACCUCCUUUGAGACUCAUACAGAGGAAGUUGUACAGCUUGGACAGGGAUAGCUUGAGUUCCAGCUCUAACUGAACUGUGUGGCCUCAGCUCAGUCAGAUUGAGGAAGACAAGCACGAUCUCAGCUGACGACUUUGGUACCCACUCAAUGGGCUAGAUCUUCUCAAUGGGUGACUCUCUUGCCUUCUGAGGGGUAGAGGAUGCUUCUUCCAGCUCACAAGAUUUUGUAGGAAGAAUUUAUUGAGAGAAAGCUUGUCUAAGAGAGACAGAAGACUGACCAGAAAGUGGGUUGCCUGACCACUCUACUUCCCAGUGGUAUUUUAUUGAGCAAAGCCAUGAGGUGAGGUGGGUAUAACGUGG
rnacentral:lncRNA from 1 species